rnacentral:tRNA from 1 species
GGGGGUAUAGCUCAGUUGGUAGAGCGCUUGAAUGGCAUUCAAGAGGCCAGGAGUUCGAAUCUCCUUACCUCCA